UACGUAGGAGGCGAGCGUUGUCCGGAUUUACUGGGCGUAAAGCGCGCGCAGGCGGCAUGGCAAGUAAGGUGUGAAAUCUCCCCUGCCUAACGGGGGAGGGUGCAUUUUAGACUGCCAAGCUAGAGGACGGUAGAGGGGGUAGAAUUGCUGGUGUAGCGGUGAAAUGCGUAGAGAUCAGCAGGAAUACCCGUGGCGAAGGCGGCCCUGGGCCGAACCUGACGCUGAGGCGCGAAGGCUAGGGGGAGCGAACGGGG
rnacentral:rRNA from 1 species